GAUGACGUUUAAAAACGUCAUUUUACUUCGUCAACAAGAAGACGGUUUUAUAAUUUGACAGCUGCGAGCAUUCGCAGAAGGCAUAAUGUCUCUGUUGCGUGUGUUUACUAAUCCCAGAAAUCAUAUUUGUAAAGGCGUACUUGUGGAGUCAGUUUUUAAAGCCUGCUCGCGGACUACAGGGUCAGCUACAGAUGGGAAGCCGCUGGACAAGGAGCCUCUGAGGAAGGCCAAAACCCCACUCGGACGUCUCGAUAUUUCAGAGAAAGAAACGACAAAGGACGUCCUGGAACGAUUCCCGGAUGACGUGAAUCCUGUCACAAAAGAACAAGGAGGACCCAGGGGUCCCGAGCCCACGCGAUUCGGCGAUUGGGAGAGAAAGGGGCGGUGCAUAGAUUUUUAGUUUAUUACUGGACACUAUAUAUGUUUAAAACUCUGAUUUUCCGGCCGGACUGUAAUAUACUUGAAAGAAAAAAACGCAUAUUAAUAUGCACACAACACAACUGCACUAUAAAUGUGGAAAUGUGUAUUCUAAUACAGGUAUGCUACAUGGCAGCAAUUGUAUUUGUGUAAACAACUUAAGAGAGAAUUUGACAUUUAAUUACUCAACACUGUUGUACUUAUAGCACAAACAUUUCAUGUGGUGUUAUUCAAAGUUUAUUCCAGCAGUCAUAAUAGGCCUGAAAGUAGAACGUAAUUUGAAAUAUAACUUGUGUGUAUAGCAAUGCGUGAUCAUCUGUUAAACAGGUGUUUCUUACAGAACUGGGAUGAUGAAUAAAUACGUUAUUGUAUGAAGUCGAA